rnacentral:rRNA from 1 species
UACGAAGGGGGCUAGCGUUGCUCGGAAUCACUGGGCGUAAAGCGCACGUAGGCGGAUCUUUAAGUCAGGGGUGAAAUCCUGGAGCUCAACUCCAGAACUGCCUUGAUACUGGGGAUCUCGAGUCCGGGAGAGGUGAGUGGAACUCCGAGUGUAGAGGUGAAAUUCGUAGAUAUUCGGAAGAACACCAGUGGCGAAGGCGGCUCACUGGCCCGGUACUGACGCUGAGGUGCGAAAGCGUGGGGAGCA